rnacentral:rRNA from 1 species
CUCUUCGGGGAUGAUUAAACCGGCGCACGGGUGAGUAACACGUGAGUGACCUGCCUUUUAGACUGGAACAACUUACCGAAAGGUGAGCUAAUGCCGGAUGAGUUAUAUAAGUGCAUGUUUAUAUAGGAAAAGUUGGGGAGACCUGACGCUGAAAGAUGGACUCGCGUCCCAUUAGCUAGUUGGUAGGGUAAUGGCCUACCAAGGCGACGAUGGGUAGCCGGCCUGAGAGGGUGGCCGGCCACACUGGGACUGAGACACGGCCCAGACUCCUACGGGAGGCAGCAGUGGGGAAUUUUGCGCAAUGCUCGUAAGAGUGACGCAGCGACGCCGCGUGAAUGACGAAGGCCUUCGGGUCGUAAAGUUCUUUCGACAGGGAAGAAAAUGCCUAUAAGUAACUGUGUAUGUAUUGACGGUACCUGUAUAAGCAGCCCCGGCUAACUCCGUGCCAGCAGCCGCGGUAAUACGGAGGGGGCGAGCGUUGUUCGGAGUGACUGGGCGUAAAGAGCACGUAGGCGGUGUUGUAAGUCAUUAGUCAAAGACUAGAGCUCAACUUUAGUAAGGCUAGUGAUACUAUAAUACUAGAGUAUCAGAGAGGAUUGCAGAAUUCCUGGUGUAGCGGUGAAAUGCGUAGAUAUCAGGAGGAAUACCGUUAGCGAAGGCGGCAAUCUGGCUGGAAACUGACGCUGAGGUGCGAAAGCGUGGGUAGCAAACAGGAUUAGAUACCCUGGUAGUCCACGCUGUAAACGAUGGAUGCUAGGUGUUGGGCUUUUAAGUUCAGUGCC